rnacentral:rRNA from 1 species
UGGGGAAUAUUGGACAAUGGGCGCAAGCCUGAUCCAGCCAUGCCGCGUGAGUGAUGAAGGCCCUAGGGUUGUAAAGCUCUUUCACCGGUGAAGAUAAUGACGGUAACCGGAGAAGAAGCCCCGGCUAACUUCGUGCCAGCAGCCGCGGUAAUACGAAGGGGGCUAGCGUUGUUCGGAAUUACUGGGCGUAAAGCGCACGUAGGCGGACAUUUAAGUCAGGGGUGAAAUCCCGGGGCUCAACCCCGGAACUGCCUUUGAUACUGGGUGUCUAGAGUUCGAGAGAGGUGAGUGGAAUUCCGAGUGUAGAGGUGAAAUUCGUAGAUAUUCGGAGGAACACCAGUGGCGAAGGCGGCUCACUGGCUCGAUACUGACGCUGAGGUGCGAAAGCGUGGGGAGCAAAACAGGAUUAGAUACCCCCGGUAGUCCACGCCGUAAACGAUGGAAGCCAGCUGUCGGCAAGUUUACUUGUCGGUGGCGCAGCUAACGCAUUAAGCUUCCCGCCUGGGGAGUACGGUCGCAAGAUUAAAACUCAAAUGUGACGGGGUCAUAGCUGUUUCCUG